ensembl:lncRNA
UAAAUGUGCCCUGUGGGGAAACUGGGUCAUUGUUACUGAAUAGAUAAAGAUAGAUCAGUUUUGCUAAAAUGAUAAAUAAGGUAGGAAGUUAUUAUGUAAACAAAUAAAUUCAGUCCAGAGUCCUCAUGUUCAAACAUCCAAACUCAUGUAAAAACUAAACCACUGUUGACUAUUACUACAGCAGUAAAAAAAACAAAACAAGUUUUGCUAAUGUACUGUACACAUGGUCUAAAACUAUAAAUAAUUUUAAAGAAUGUGCGUCAAAGUAAAGUAGUUUCAAUUUAGAUUUCUACUGACUGCUCAAACAGCUACUUUUACAGCUCUACAGUGGAAUGUUAAGAGUUUGUCAAUUCAUAAUUCCUAUUAAAAAACAUUGGGUAACUAGCAAAUGUUAUUCUGGUUCCAGUUAUUCUAUCUUUUAUGUCACAUCAAUAAUUAAAACUGUAAAAAAUGAUGUUUGGUCUUCAGUAUUGGCAUAAAGUGUUUUGAAGAUUACACUUAUUUUAUUUCCUAUGGAUGUCACUGUGGUGUCUCAGACAGCAAUAAGAGACUGAGGAAAUUCAAUUUGACUUCUGUACAGUCAAGCAGCACACUUUAUUUAGCUUAAACAUGGAGUAUCUCCAUCUUCUCUUCAGAUGGUUUUAUGAGGUGUCAUUUGACCUGAAGCCCUCCCAGGCCCAGGCUCAUGCAUGAAGCCAUUUUUUUCUGGUUUUAGUCAAAGACAAGAAUAAUGGUUGGUCACAAUUUGAGGCACUAGCCGUUAAUUGAUGACUAACUGAGACAGCAAUGGUGGAUGGGGGCAGCAAUAAAGGAUCUGUGGUACAUGAUGAUUGUGUUAUAGAUACUCAAAUCAUGUUAAUCUGUUCCUAUGGCAGGACUGAAGGUACUCAGGAAGGAUCUGAAAAAAGAGUAAAACCAGUGGUUGUGAAAAAGACUUUCUUUUGGUGCAGUCCACACAGAAACCAUAUAGCAGUGUGUACAAGGAGAGCAGGUGAAGGAGUAAUAACAUACUGUACCUACAUACAAUUCCAUGAUCUGAAUGCUGCCAGUGAAACCACGGGUAGGACAUAGCUGCCAUCCAUUUCUAGGUAUGAAAGAGGGUAAUAGGAUACCCAGCAGCCAGGGGCAGGGGUCAUCGUAGUAGUAACUACAGGGAAAACACCUAGGGGCUGGGUCAGUCUUCCAGCAGGCCAGAGCAGGUAAAAAGUGGUAAAGCCUCAAGUUAGAGGCCCAAGCCCAUGAGGCCACUAUCCCCUGUGGUUAAUCUAUGUACUCUUGUACAAAAGCCACUUGGAGCCACUUGGAAAUCAGAAUGUCUCUGACAGCCUGAUGAUUUAAUGGAUACCUAAACUGGAUUGUAAGGCUUCAAACCCGUUACCAGGUAUAGCUGAUAUAUUCAGUGAUACAGUAUAGUGAGAUCGGUAAAAAAGAAAGGGGGACACCAGCGUUACCCUCUUCAUAUCUGCUUAGUUCCUAACUAUAAACCAGUAGGACAUUUUUUGAAAGAAAGGAAAAAAAAUUGAAUUAGGUAAAAUUACUGCAAAAGCUAUUUGUAUAAUAACUUCCAGGGUAAUUUAGACAAGCCAUCAACACUGAUAAACCUGUCUGGAAGUGUCGUUUCACACAUAAAAGGAGCAGAGCUGUUCGGGUGAGGGAAGAGGGGAAAAGGAACACUUGGAGACAGACAGCAAGAGGUGCUGGUGGUAGUAGUUAUUUGAAGAAUGUUGCCUGUUCAGCUGCUCGGUGAUUACAUUUAUUUGGAUAGUAGCCAAUAAUUUAUCUACCUGCACAUGUACUGUGCAGGUUUAUGUCGUUCAUAUCACGAGGAGGCUGAGCUACUGACUGGAAGUGUGCAUGGCAAUGGCCACCUGUAGCUACUGUACAGUAGAGAGCAGCAGGUGUCUACUGCGUUAAAAUUUGUGAGGCGUUUCAUUUCUGCCAGGACUGGUAGGUCAGUCUUAUCUAUGUCAUGUGGGGGUGUCCAUGCUCCUCUUCACUGUAUCACUAUAAGAUUUCACUUGAGUACAUUUGAUACUUGGACUACUUGUCUUUGUAGUUGUGAAAACAUUCU